rnacentral:rRNA from 1 species
GCCUUAGCGCGGUGGUCCCACCUGACCCCAUGCCGAACUCAGAAGUGAAACGCCGUAGCGCCGAUGGUAGUGUGGGGCCUCCCCAUGCGAGAGUAGGGAACUGCCAGGC